UUGAUGUAUAUUUCCAUUCAUAUCUUCAAAUGAGAGAAAUAUUUUUCAUUGAAGUAGAAAGGUCUAGUUUGAGAAUUUUCCUCUUCAAAUAACGCUCCAACUAUGACUUGAUUUGACAUCAUCUUUUCUCACUUGUUGUUAAAUAAUAUAUUGUGAGACCUUGUUCUAAUACCAAUUUAAAAUGUACGAGGGGGCUAAAUUGCCUUUUACUUUUUCUAGUCGUCUUACUUUAUGUAGCAAUCAACUAUUAACCUCGCAAGUAAAGAACGUUAAAUAAAGUACGAAUUAAAUGCUGAAGGAUAAUGACACGAGAUGUUUUAACUGAUUGGGACCGAGAAUGGAUCUUAGUCUCAAUCCCUUGUGUUGCAAGGAUGUUCUUCUCUAGCUCUUGUAACUUAAUUUUGGACAAUGAUAUUGGGGUCUAUUCCUAUGUGUACACUCAAUCUCUUUUCUUGUAAUUUUUGAUACAAUGUCUCAUCAACAAUAUGUUCUCUCCUCUCUUUUUGGAGUACACAGUAAACAAGUAGGAAGCACAAUGUUUGUUAAAAGUAGAGCAAUGAACAUGAGAUGGUUCAGAAUGUUUGUAUAUCUUCUCUUCUUCAAGUGACAGCCUUUAAAUAAGUUGGUUUGAUCUUUUAGCUUUACCUGACAGAGAUGGAAUCCCAAUAGACCUGAUCCUUGAUAAAAGGAAUAUAUUGAUCCUAUUUUCAAGAAUAAAGUCAAGUUACAUUGAACCUUGAUUAUGCGGCGUCUUUCCUUUUGGGAUAUAGAACUUCCUCGUUGAAGGAAUUCUUUGAUACUUGUUUCCUUCCAAGAUUGUUGUGAUUGGUGAAAUAUAUCCUCAGUGCUUGCUCCUUAAAAAGGUCUGAAAUUAGCGACCUUUUCUUGUGACAAAAUUCUUGACUUCAUAGCUCUGAAUAAGGUUUCGUAAAGAAAUUUAAUGUGGUAAGCAUCAGCGUAAAUAGAAGAAAUAGAUGUGGUUCUUGAUCACACUCAAGAUGGAAGAUUUGCAGAAUACCUAUGCAGAAAGAAAAAGAAGAGUUCCCAGAAUUGGUUGUGAACUUCAAUCCACGACCUUAAACUCGCGGGGUGGUAAUUUUGGGCAACAGAAGGUGGACAUGCGCACGGAAUGUAUUCCUCCGUCUCAAUUUAUGUAACAGCAUUUUCCUUUAAAAUCUGACCUCAAAAGAAUAUCAUAUAUUUAGGACUAAUUUAACUUUAAUCUUUAUAUUUUACCCUUGAACAUAAAUGGCUAUGACUCAUUUUACAAGUUUCAAAA